CGUAAAGAACGCAUCACUAUUGUUCUUUGAUGUUCUGGCCACUAUCGAUUUCGUUUCCAAGUCAUUCUGUUACGAACCGUGCAUUUAUCCUAUGGAGUGGUACCUGAUGCUAUGAUGAGCAAUAUACAUUGUCAGCAUGGUUUGCAGGAAAAAUUCAAACACUACCCUCUAUGUGUUCAACGUUCAUUGUUUGUCGAUCUAACUGAAUCGCCAUUAGUUUGGAGUUCACUGCUGCGUCAGAUUUGAACCUUGGCGGAUAUGAGGAAUUACACGAAUGGACGGUAGCAAGUGGGGCAACUUUGGCAAGCAGAACUAUUGACGUGGAAUGGACCAAACUUAGAGUUAAAGAGCCUGAUAGGAAUGUUGCACGGAUACCGCGAAAGGUGUCGGUUGAUAGAGACAGCAGGGUGAUGGCCACGGACGUUGGCAUUCAUUAACGAGUGUGUAACAUCUCACCUGACGAAUCAACCAGAGGCCUGAAAAUGGGUGGCGCUAGAAGUUAUAGCCAAUAUUCGACACCGUUUGGUUUUGGCAACGUUGCGCGUCCAUUAUCUAAUGGUGCGCGCUACCGAAUAAAGCCGACGUGAGUAAGAGAAGCAAUGAAAUUAGUACGCGAGUCGUGUGAAUACCAUCGUUGCAGUAAAUCUUGAUCGUAAUAGAGAACCUUCAGGACUGAAGUGAAAAAAUGUUCCGUGUAAACAAAAAUUGUGUAUGGGUCAAUCGGUCCAAAUGUACGGAGAAGAAUUCUGGUGGCACGAUGGAAACGUGUUGAACAACUCUUCCUUACUUUCGUUCAGUCUUGCCUCUGGU
rfam:Soboliphyme baturini genome assembly, scaffold: SBAD_scaffold0003519